rnacentral:lncRNA from 1 species
UGCUUCGCAAAACAUCGAACUGUGUCCAUCUAACUGCACUCAGUGGUACGUAGAAAGUGCAUAAAUAUGUAUGUCAAUUCCGCUUACAAAACUGCUGAUCCUUGACCAACACGGUUCUAUCGGUAAAAGCGGAGUUCCCUUGAAAAAUGCAGCUUUUCCUAAUUGGUACAACCUUACGGAGAACGUGCAAACCAACUGCAAAUACUCUUACGAACACAAAAGAGAAUCGCAUGACGGAUCAGUCCGACAUCUCAAGGAGACAACUUUCCGAUUAGUCCCUCUCCGUCGUCGACGUAAUCUGCUCAAUCUGCGGUGGGCAACGUGCGGUCUUAUCAUCGUUACGCCACACAGUUCUCCGUGCUAAGGAAAAUUGUACGUGAAUGACACGAUGGAUUUCGAGGAAAAAGCAAAUACGCUACUAAUGACUCGACUAGAUAUACUCGUUGAUCGAGAAAUCAUAAUUUCACUCGACCGAUAAUACGAUUAUUAAGCGUAUGGAUUUUCUUCGCCAUAGUUUUCUGCAUUCGUUACCUGCUACUAUAUGGUAUGCUCGUUUCCUUGGAGAGAUAACAAAGGUAAAAAGUUUCACAUCUUCAGUCUUCAUGGAUACAAAUAUAUAAUAUGAUCAAAUAUAUAUACAUUUACUAUAUAUUACUCUUUUUAAUGCACACUAAAAUAAACUAAUCAACGGGAAAACUUAAAACAAUAAUCGGAAUGAAUACACUAUUAUGCUCUUAUUCACACGAGUAUCAAUUCACGACUGCUUAAAAUUUAGUAAUCCUUAUCUCUCAUAGAUACUAAUGUACUCGAUAUAUGUGACGCCAUCGGAUAUGUUUGUCUUAUUACCCAUAUACUUAAUUGUUCUAUGGAUUUGAA